GGUCACAUAGCUCAGUGGAAGAGCAUAAGCCUCCUAAGCUUAGGGUCGCAGGUUCAACUCCUGUUGUGAUCGCCA
rnacentral:tRNA from 1 species